rnacentral:siRNA from 1 species
AAACUAUGAUCCUGCAAGUGAAGC